rnacentral:rRNA from 1 species
GAUGAACGCUGGCGGCGUGCUUAACACAUGCAAGUCGAACGAUGAAGCCCAGCUUGCUGUGGAUUAGUGGCGAACGGGUGCGUAACACGUGAGUAACCUGCCCUUGACUCUGGGAUAAGCCUGGGAAACUGGGUCUAAUACUGGAUAUGACUUCUCAUCGCAUGGUGGGGGGUGGAAAGAUUUAUUGGUCUUGGAUGGACUCGCGGCCUAUCAGCUUGUUGGUGAGGUAAUGGCUCACCAAGGCGACGACGGGUAGCCGGCCUGAGAGGGUGACCGGCCACACUGGGACUGAGACACGGCCCAGACUCCUACGGGAGGCAGCAGUGGGGAAUAUUGCACAAUGGGCGCAAGCCUGAUGCAGCGACGCCGCGUGAGGGAUGACGGCCUUCGGGUUGUAAACCUCUUUCAGUAGGGAAGAGGCGAGAGUGACGGUACCUGCAGAAGAAGCGCCGGCUAACUACGUG